CAUGCCAAGUCGAACGCGCGCAUUGUGGNCCUGCGAACGGGUGCGUAACACGUGGAUAACCUUCCUUGAGGUGGGGAAUAACCCAGUGAAAAUUGGGCUAAUACCGCAUAACAUCGCGAUGGCACAUGCUGAUGCGAUCAAAGGCGCAGUCGCCACAAGAGGGAUCCGCGGCCGAUUAGCUUGUUGGCUGAGGUAAUGGCUCACCAAGGCAAUGAUCGGUAGCCGGACUGAGAGGUUGGCCGGCCACACUGGAACUGAGACACGGUCCAGACUCCUACGGGAGGCAGCAGUGGGGAAUCUUGCACAAUGGGCGAAAGCCUGAUGCAGCAACGCCGCGUGGGGGAUGAAGGCUUCUCGGAGUUGUAAAGCCCCUUAUACGACCCGGAAGAAUGCCCGCAAGGGUAUGACGGGUACGGGUAUAAAGAAGCCCCGGUAAACUACGUA
rnacentral:rRNA from 1 species